rnacentral:rRNA from 1 species
UACAGAGGUCUCGAGCGUUAGGCGGAAUCACUGGGCUUAAAGCGUGUGUAGGCGGGUCGUUAAGUACCUUGUGAAAUCCCAUGGCUCAACCAUGGAACUGCUGGGUAUACUGGCGAUCUUGUGCAACCUAGGGGCGAGCGGAACAGAUGGUGGAGCGGUGAAAUGCGUAGAUAUCAUCUGGAACGCCAAGUGGUGAAAACAGCUCGCUGGGGGUUUGCAGACGCUGAGACACGAAAGCCAGGGGAGCGAACGGG